AAUAAUGAAGAACCGAACCGAAACUGUACCGAAAUUCUAGUUCAGUUCUGGUUCCUAGCCAAAUCCCGAACUGAACCGAAACCGAACAGCCCUAAUUCCCAUCAUACCUAAACUUUUUGAAACCCUAUCUAAACAGAAGCAACUUCAUAAGAAUAAAGAUAAUAAUAAAACUGUUUGAAAAAAGACAUGAUAGUUCAUUAAAUAUACAAUCGGACAUCUUUCAUUAGAAUUUAAAACAAAAAAAAUAAUAAUAAUUAGAUGGUUGGGUAUAUGGCACUUCACUUCAACAUGUCGGGGUGUGUACGUGUCAAUCAAGGUAACCCUAGCAACACACAUUUAUAUAAUUAUGUCAAGGCUUAUAAGGUCCUCGUAUUUUGUUUGGUAAGUUAUGUUAAUUAAAACUAGGAGUUAGGACGGUAGGAAGCCAAAUGUGGAAACAAAAAAUUGUGAAAUAGAACCUGUCAAUGUAUUGCAGAAUUAACCAAAAGAAAACAAAAUUGCAAGCAAGAGUCCUAAACCAAUAUACUAUUCCCUGUUAACACCAUCCAUACCAAACCAAUUACACAUGUCUAAAUGAACCUGGGCUAUUGGGGAGUACAGCUGUAAAUGAGCCAAGCUACUCAUAAGCUAUUCGAGUCUCAGCUUAAUAAAAGCUCAAUUCAAUAUAGUUCGUUUUAUAAACGAACCAAGCUUGAGCUCACUAGUAUUCGGCUCGUUAAAGCACACAAGCCGGGCCAGCUCAUUUGCAAGCACACGAGCUGACUCGUGAACAGGCUCAUUAAACAAGCUUAUGAGAUAGCUCUUAAAUAGACUCAUGAGUGAGCUUGUUAAAUAGGCUUAUGAGCUUGCUCGUUUACAAGUUCAUUUAUACUAAUUAUUGUAUUUUCUAAUAUUGUAAAUACAAUAAUUUCA
rnacentral:misc_RNA from 1 species